rnacentral:rRNA from 1 species
GUCUACAGCCAUGCCACCCUGAACGUGCCCGACCUCGUCUGAUCUUGAAGCUAAGCAGGGUCGGGCCUGGUUAGGACUUGGAUGGGAGACCACCUAGGAAGACCAGGUGAUAUAGUCU